rnacentral:rRNA from 1 species
UACGUAGGUGGCAAGCGUUGUCCGGAAUUAUUGGGCGUAAAGCGCGCGCAGGCGGUUCUUUAAGUCUGAUGUGAAAGCCCACGGCUCAACCGUGGAGGGUCAUUGGAAACUGGGGGACUUGAGUGCAGGAGAGAAGAGUGGAAUUCCACGUGUAGCGGUGAAAUGCGUAGAGAUGUGGAGGAACACCAGUGGCGAAGGCGGCUCUCUGGGACGGUACUGACGCUGAGACGCGAAAGCGUGGGGAGCGAACAGG